ensembl:lncRNA
AUGGUGUCACAGGUACCUUGGACAGACAAAGCCUGUUUGUACGGGUCAGCACUGGGGUGCAGACUAAUGCAGCUCUGUUGCAGCAGGUGGAUGCAGCACGGUCUGGGACUGCUGUUUCUCGACAGCUCAGUGCUCUGUCAUUGCAGCGCAGCUGGAGCAGGCAGGGACGGGGAUGCCAAAGCACAGCUCGCUCCUCCUUGCUGCCACCGUGCUCAGGCAACACACACCAGGGAGCCCUUGCUGGGACCUCCUGUCUGUGGGUCUGCAUGGCCGUGGGAUGACCUGAACCCUCCCUCCAGGCUUAAGACUUCUCUGCUGUGUGGUAACCUGGCAGAAAGGGAGGAGACGAUGCCUGUGGCCAUGCCAUCAACUGGAGGAAAUGACGACGGAUCAACCAUUUGAGCAGAGUGGUCAGCUGUGUGUUUGCAUCUUAUGCCAGCUACAAUCACUGGUCAUCACAUGAGAACCAGUACCAAUUAUAAUAAAUAAAAAAGCUUUUCUCA